rnacentral:rRNA from 1 species
CACGUAGGGUGCAAGCGUUGUCCGGAAUUAUUGGGCGUAAAGAGCUCGUAGGCGGUUUGUCGCGUCUGCUGUGAAAACUCAGGGCUUAACCCUGAGCCUGCAGUGGGUACGGGCAGACUAGAGUGCGGUAGGGGAGACUGGAAUUCCUGGUGUAGCGGUGAAAUGCGCAGAUAUCAGGAGGAACACCGGUGGCGAAGGCGGGUCUCUGGGCCGUAACUGACGCUGAGGAGCGAAAGCGUGGGGAGCGAACAGG